rnacentral:misc_RNA from 1 species
UAAUAAUAAUAAUAAUAAUAACAGGAGAAAUACCACAACUAGAGUAAUUUCAGGUUAAAGAUGUGACCAACCUAGCUAUGGGUUUCAAGCUACAUCACUAGCGAUAAUGAGCUCCAGCAUUGUUGUAAACACGGCCCUUACGGUAUGGAACCCUUCUUUUAGUUCCUGGAUUCCUUCUACGCCCAACAAACUGAGGUGGGGCCCUGUAUGAUCCAAACUGAUUAGUUGUGUAAGCUCGACGUACGUUUGUAGAACCUGUAGCUGGCGCACCACUAUUGCUGCCAACGCCCGUGUUUGAGAAGUGGCUCAUUCCGGCUUGCUGAUACUGAUUCAAUCGUGCCUGUGAUUCCUUUCGAAGAAAUACUUUUCUUUGAUUUGCUUGUUGAGUGCGUAGUUCUGAUAGUUUGUCCUGGUACCAAUAAUUGAUCUCAAUUAUUUUCUCCCUAUGCCUAGUAUUUUCUGCAUCUUCUGCAUCAAUUUGUUCCUGUCCCAAUCUCGUUAUUUCAUCAAGGAACUUCUGUUCAAGACCUUCAAAAGUCGGUGGUAAUGUGCUGUCCUCAUAGCCGAUCUCCAUAUCUUGUUCAUAAGGCUGGGUGCUACCGUCCUUGGCUGGAUUUUCUGAUCCUAGUUUAGGUCCAGGUGCCUGACCCUGGAAAAAAGAUCUUGCACUAUUUCUCCCUUGACCUGCAUCACCACACCACAGAAAUAUGAGUAUAACUUAUAGAACUAAUGGCACAUUUUAACAGAAAAUACAAUAAUUUAUCCUUGCAAAGCCACCAACUUUGUUGAGCCUUGUAAAAUCAAUUCAGACCAGAAAUGCAUAUGAAUUGUGAAGGCUUUUCAACCUUCCUAUUUUGCUAAAAUGAUAAAAGGGUCUGAGAUAAGUAUGGAUGAAUUAUUUGAACCAUAGUUACCUAGAAAACUGUACAUCUUGGGCUGUCGUAUGGGUAUGGGCACAAGUACACAGAAUGCCACUUUGCUGGAUAUAGGAUGCAUAAGGAGUAUGCUUAGUUAAUACACCAAUUCGGAAUGCCGUACAUUAAUUAUAUCAAUUCGAAAUGCGUUACGUGAAUUACACUUAACUAGUCUAAUCACCAAGUCUAAAAACACCGAAUCAAAUAAUAAUUUCCUUUCAUUUUUUCGUUAAAAAAAUUAUGAAUACAUUUCACAUAAUUAAUUUUAAUAAAAAAGACUAAAAAAAGUUUUAUUUAGACUCUGGGAUAUAAAGUCAACAAAUUAGGCAACUAAAAAUUUUCUAAUUAUUUUAAACUUUUAACAAAUUUGUAAAUAUAUUAAUUGGCCCCCAACCCAAUAAAUUAAUCAAUUUCUUUUUGAUAAAAUCUAGCAUUUACUUUCAAAAAAUUAUAGUAGAAACAGCCACAAGCAGUAGCACCACCUACCCCCUUCCCCAUAAUAAAUAAUAAAUAAUCAAUAAAUCUCACCAAAUCUCACCUAAAUUUAAUUUAAUCAGAGUACAUUCUAUCUCUUUUUUUUUUUUUGGGGUGUUUUUAGGCUUUUCCUGUCAUUUCCCUUAUCAAAACUUCAUUAUCCUUUCACCCUUUCUGACUAGCAUUAAACAUACUUGCUGAAUGAAAUUGAAAAAAAGAACUGGAAUGCCAGUUUUAAUGAUCCAGAAUGCUGACGUACCACAUUCUGGGACGAGCAUUCCAGGUUAUGGUUUUAAAGAGGGGGGCAGUCCUAUAUCUAUAAUUUGAGCUAUUUGCUAUUAUAUCAAUCCACAAAAUUCAUAAUAUAUUUAACUUCUCUUCACAAUUUUAACUCUCAUUAAAUAUGCAACAAAUUUUACACCCUAAUUUGAAAAUUCGCACAUUAAAAGCUCAGGAUUGCUUAUGUUUUUUUACUAUUGUAUGGUUCUUGAAUGCAAACGCCAAAAAAAAAAAAAAAUCAGACUGGUCUGUAGCUAAUAUUUCCAAGGCAAAUGGAUCAAAGUGCUUUGAUACCAAAUUGAUGUAGAACCAAGAACAAUUAAAGUCGGUUCUUUCCAGAGGCUCUUCAUGAUUUCUUAUCUCGAUGAGGGGAUACUUGUAAGUAUUCUACUCUGUGUAUAUUGGGAAUCAAUUCAUAGUUGUACACAUUGUGGCCCUUAAAUUCUUACCUUAGUGGUCUCAUUGCAGGAUUGGGUAAACAUUAUACACAAAAUUAUCUGUGAUCUGGAUUUUGUUGUAUCAACACUUCUGGAAUAGUAUUUUCAUUUAUUGUUGAAGGAAUUAGAGAAGAAACUCUCAAGCAUAAUUGUGACCUUUUUCCUUUGUGAUUGUGCACAAGGCAACUCUAGGAAAUUCUAGAAUCCUAAUAUAUUUAUUUGGGAUGCCAUCAUGAGCUGAAAAUUCUGGAAUCCUAACAAAUUUAAGUAAAAUCACUUAUCUCUUCUGAGCUUUUUUUCCUGAGCAUUUUGAUUUCACCUAUUGUGUAGGUAGGUAGGAAUAUUAAAAUUGAUCCAUUAGCCUUGAUCUUUUAUGAGCUUCUCUCUUCUCUUGAGACCAUGGUAGAUCUCCUCAUAACAUAAUUGUGUAAGUAUAAUCACUUUAAUCCCUCUUUAAAUAUUAAGGGAUGCUUACGUGGAAACAUGAGCCGCAUGCCUUAUCAUCCAUUUGCCAAGGGAUAAUCAUGAAGAUUUAGUUGCUUGCUUUAAGACUGACAUGUAGGAAUAGCAACGGAAGGGCCAAACCUAAUCACAUCCUGAAUUCUUGUCCUGUUUCCUGACACAGAUAAUAAGGGAUACUGCUGGAGUGCCUGAAG